CCUACGGGUGGCAGCAGUGAGGAAUAUUGGUCAAUGGGCGCUAGCCUGAACCAGCCAAGUCGCGUGAAGGAUGACUGCCCUACGGGUUGUAAACUUCUUUUAUAUGGGAAUAAAGUGCAGUAUGUAUACUGCUUUGCAUGUACCUUAUGAAUAAGGAUCGGCUCACUCCGUGCCAGCCGCCGCGGUAAUACGGAGGAUACGAGCGUUUUCCGGAUUUAUUGGGUUUAAAGGGAGCGUAGGCGGGUUGUUAAGGCAGCGGUAAAAUCUUGGGGCUCAACCCCAUCCAGCCGUUGAAACUGGGGAUCUAGAGUGUGCGAGAGGUAUGCGGAAUGCGUGGUGUAGCGGUGAAAUGCAUAGAUAUCACGCAGAACCCCGAUUGCGAAGGCAGCAUACCGGUGCACAACUGACGCUGAGGCACGAAAGCGUGGGUAUCGAACAGGAUUAGAUACCCCAGUAGUC
rnacentral:rRNA from 1 species